rnacentral:rRNA from 1 species
CCUACGGGAGGCAGCAGUGAGGAAUAUUGGUCAAUGGACGAGAGUCUGAACCAGCCAAGUAGCGUGAAGGAUGACUGCCCUAUGGGUUGUAAACUUCUUUUAUAUGGGAAUAAAACGUUCCACGUGUGGGAUUUUGUAUGUACCAUAUGAAUAAGGAUCGGCUAACUCCGUGCCAGCAGCCGCGGUAAUACGGAGGAUCCGAGCGUUAUCCGGAUUUAUUGGGUUUAAAGGGAGCGUAGGUGGAUUGUUAAGUCAGUUGUGAAAGUUUGCGGCUCAACCGUAAAAUUGCAGUUGAGACUGGCAGUCUUGAGUACAGUAGAGGUGGGCGGAAUUCGUGGUGUAGCGGUGAAAUGCUUAGAUAUCACGAAGAACUCCGAUUGCGAAGGCAGUUCACUGGACUGCAACUGACACUGAGGCUCGAAAGUGUGGGUAUCAAACAGGAUUAGAUACCCUUGUAGUA